UAGGGAAUCUUCCGCAAUGGGCGAAAGCCUGACGGAGCAACGCCGCGUGAGUGAUGAAGGUCUUCGGAUCGUAAAACUCUGUUAUUAGGGAAGAACAAAUGUGUAAGUAACUAUGCACGUCUUGACGGUACCUAAUCAGAAAGCCACGGCUAACUACGUGCCAGCAGCCGCGGUAAUACGUAGGUGGCAAGCGUUAUCCGGAAUUAUUGGGCGUAAAGCGCGCGUAGGCGGUUUUUUAAGUCUGAUGUGAAAGUCCACGGCUCAACCGUGGAGGGUCAUUGGAAACUGGAAAACUUGAGUGCAGAAGAGGAAAGUGGAAUUCCAUGUGUAGCGGUGAAAUGCGCAGAGAUAUGGAGGAACACCAGUGGCGAAGGCGUAUUUCUGGUCUGUAACUGACGCUGAUGUGCGAAAGCGUGGGGAUCAAACAGG
rnacentral:rRNA from 1 species